rnacentral:rRNA from 1 species
GACGAACGCUGGCGGCGUGCCUAAUACAUGCAAGUCGAACGGUAAGGCCCUGCCUUUGUGUGCUGCUCGAGUGGCGAACGGGUGAGUAACACGUGAGUAACCUGCCUUGGACCUUGGGAUAACUAUAGGAAACGGUGGCUAAUACCGCAUGACAGCACCUGCUGCAUGGUAACGGUUGGAAAGGGUCGACGGUUCCGGAAGCACUCGCGGCUUAUAAGUUUGUGGGUGUGGUAGUGGCAUACCAAGGCCUUGACGAGUAGCCAGCCUGAGAGUGUGACCGGCCACAUUCGGCCUGAGAUGGCGCCGAUACUGCAACGGGAGGCAUCAGUGGAGAAUGUUGCACUAUAGGCGGAAGCAUGAUGCAACAACGCCGCGUGCGGGAUGACGGCCUUCGGGUAGUAAACCGCGUUCGACUGUAACGGUGCGUGAGUGACGGUAUUGGAUAAAGAAGCACCGGCUAACUACGUG